rnacentral:rRNA from 1 species
UACGGAGGAUCCGAGCGUUAUCCGGAUUUAUUGGGUUUAAAGGGUGCGUAGGCGGCCAUUUAAGUCAGCGGUGAAAUUUUGCAGCUUAACUGUAGAAUUGCCGUUGACACUGUUUUUCUUGAGUAUGGUCAAGGAAGGCGGAAUGUGUAAUGUAGCGGUGAAAUGCUUAGAUAUUACACAGAACACCAAUUGCGUAGGCAGCUUACUGAGCCGACACUGACGCUGAGGCACGAAAGCGUGGGGAUCAAACAGGAUUAGAUACCCCU